UGGCGAACGGGUGAGUAACACGUGGGGCAACCUGCCCAAAANAGGGGGAUAACACUUGGAAACAGGUGCUAAUACCGCAUAACCAUAGUUACCGCAUGGUAACUAUGUAAAAGGUGGCUAUGCUACCGCUUUUGGAUGGGCCCGCGGCGCAUUAGCUAGUUGGUGGGGUAAAGGCUUACCAAGGCAAUGAUGCGUAGCCGAACUGAGAGGUUGAUCGGCCACAUUGGGACUGAGACACGGCCCAAACUCCUACGGGAGGCAGCAG
rnacentral:rRNA from 1 species